GAACAAAGGAAACAGAACCUAGCUCACUAUCUCUUUGCUGUGUUGGUGCUAAUAGGAUUAAAAAUUAACAAACACUUUAACACCAUUUAGCAGAUAAAGGGAGAUCAUCUGUUGCACAAGAAGGACUUCAGCUAUCUUUACAAGACAAGUGCUUCAACAACCCUGGAACAUAGGAAUUGCCAAACUAGAUCAAACUCAUGGUCCAUCUAGUCUAAUAUCUUGUCUUUGGCAGUGACCAGCACCAGAUGAUUCAGGGGAAGGCACAAGAAACCCUGCAACAAACAGAUGUAGGAUAAACUUGUCUCUCACAAACAUGUAAUUUUAAUUCCCAAUACAGCUUGGCUUAAACCCUGAA